rnacentral:lncRNA from 1 species
UAGAUAUUUUACAAAUUACCUCUGAUAGAUUAUUUUUUUUUUUUUCUUUUUGUUAUAUUAUUUUGUUAGUAAUACAAUUGUGAAGUAUAAAUUACUUAGUAAUUUCUAAUGGAAAACAAGUAUCUAUCUGGCAUUGUAAGGAUGGUGGUUGGUGGAUAUCGACACCAACAGUUUCUACUCGUCGAUUCUUCCUGCCAAUAUGUUGAAUGUUAUAAGAUUAUAAACCAACUCUAUAUUUAUCAUUGGCAAUGAAAAAAUAUGAUAUUUAUAUAUAUAUGCACAUAUUUUAUAGACAGAUCAAAAUA